CCUCACAUGGCUUCAUUAUAUUCCAUAAAGGAGACCAUUUUCCUCAGCAGUUCAGUCUUGCAAUGCAGGUGGAGCCUGGACAUGAUCAUCUUCUGUUUCCAUGUCAGCCAGAAUACUUCACAAACCUUGGAAUGAAAAAAUUAUAUAGUAGGUCCAGCAUAAGAAACAGGCAAGAAAAAGACAGAGGAUUUCCAUGGAGAUUCUGAGCCAACGGGCCAUAAGAUUUUAGAUAAAUGAAUUCAAUACAAAGCUGAGAAAAUAGAUUUGCUUUCAGAAUCUUUGAGGUUUUGAUCUGCCUAGUAAAUAUCAUCACUUUUAAAAAUUAUCUGUAUUGAUCUAAUGUUUGUCUUUUCUUCUCAAAAUAGGUACACACUCACACAAACAUAGUUAAAUUCACCACAAAUCUCUUACACCUGAAGUUUAUCGAUAAUGUGAUA
rnacentral:lncRNA from 1 species